rnacentral:rRNA from 1 species
GAAUUGACGGGGGCCCGCACAAGCGGUGGAGUAUGUGGUUUAAUUCGACGCAACGCGAAGAACCUUACCAGGCCUUGACAUCCCUUGCAAAGCUGUAGAGAUACAGUAGAGGUUAUCAAGGUGACAGGUGGUGCAUGGUUGUCGUCAGCUCGUGUCGUGAGAUGUUGGGUUAAGUCCCGCAACGAGCGCAACCCUUGUCUUCAGUUACCAAUAUCAAGUUAGGGACUCUGGAGAGACUGCCGGUGAUAAACCGGAGGAAGGUGGGGAUGACGUCAGAUCAUCAUGCCCCUUAUGGCCUGGGCUACACACGUACUACAAUGGCUGUUACAACGUGGAGCAACACUGCGAAGUGAAGCGAAUCACUGAAAGACAGUCUCAGUUCGGAUUGAAGUCUGCAACCCGACUUCAUGAAGCUGGAAUCGCUAGUAAACGCGGAUCAGCAUGCCGCGGUGAAUACGUUCUCGGGCCUUGUACACACCG